rnacentral:rRNA from 1 species
UACGUAGGGUGCGAGCGUUGUCCGGAAUUAUUGGGCGUAAAGAGCUUGUAGGCGGUUUGUCGCGUCUGCCGUGAAAAUUCGAGGCUCAACCUCGAACUUGCGGUGGGUACGGGCAGACUAGAGUGAUGUAGGGGAGACUGGAAUUCCUGGUGUAGCGGUGAAAUGCGCAGAUAUCAGGAGGAACACCGGUGGCGAAGGCGGGUCUCUGGGCCGUAACUGACGCUGAGGAGCGAAAGCGUGGGGAGCGAACAGG